GACGAACGCUGGCGGCGUGCCUAAUACAUGCAAGUUGAGCGAUGAAGAGUGGUGCUUGCACCAAUUUGAAGAGCAGCGAACGGGUGAGUAACGCGUGGGGAAUCUGCCUUUGAGCGGGGGACAACAUCUGGAAACGAAUGCUAAUACCGCAUAAUAACUUUAAACAUAAGUUUUAAGUUUGAAAGAUGCAAUUGCAUCACUCAAAGAUGAUCUCGCGUUGUAUUAGCUAGUUGGUGAGGUAAAGGCUCACCAAGGCGAUGAUACAUAGCCGACCUGAGAGGGUGAUCGGCCACAUUGGGACUGGGACACGGCCCAAACUCCUACGGGAGGCAGCAGUAGGGAAACUUCGGCAAUGGACGAAAGUCUGACCGAGCAACGCCGCGUGAGUGAAGAAGGUUUUCGGAUCGUAAAACUCUGUUGGUAGAGAAGAACGUUGGUGAGAGUGGAAAGCUCAUCAAGUGACGGUAACUACCCAGAAAGGGACGGCUAACUACGUG
rnacentral:rRNA from 1 species